GUACUCAAAGAGUUGUCCACAUGCCAGCAGCACUGGCCCUUCCAGGAGCUGUUAGAAAUGUAGAACCUCAGAGCCUACAUUGAAGAUAUUGAAUCGGAGUCUGCACAUCGCUUCUGAGAAGCCAUGAGCUAAGCUGAUGCCAUUCAGCUGGGUAGCAUCGCAGUCACUGUGCAACUUUUAAACAUACAGCUGCCCAGGCCCACUGCAGACCUGCUAAAUUCAAGCUCCUUGUAGUGGGGCCAGGGCCCUGGGACUUCAUACAAAACUCUGCAAGUCAUCACUGAUGAGAAAACCAAGACUCGAUGAGAGUCUCCUGAGCUCAGAGGAAGAAGCUGCAUAACCAGCACACUUCCAGAGAGGACCGAGGAAGAGAGCGUUGCUUCAGCCAGGGUCUGAUUAGUCAUGCCUGGCAGGCUCUGCUGAGCUGGGUGCUCAUGGGUUUUGCUUGCUGAGCUGAAUUAAUAUAUUAGUGGAUUUCA
rnacentral:lncRNA from 1 species